rnacentral:rRNA from 1 species
CAGCCGCCGCGGGAAUACAGAGGGUGCAAGCGUUAAUCGGAAUUAGUGAGCGUAAAGCGCACGCAGGCGGUCUGUCAAGUCAGAUGUGAAAUCCCCGGGCUUAACCUGGGAACUGCAUUUGAAACUGGCAGGCUAGAGUCUUGUAGAGGGGGGUAGAAUUCCAGGUGUAGCGGUGAAAUGCGUAGAGAUCUGGAGGAAUACCGGUGGCGAAGGCGGCCCCCUGGACAAAGACUGACGCUCAGGUGCGAAAGCGUGGGGAGCAAACAGGAUUAGAUACCCCAGUAGUCCCUGUCUCUUAUAC